UGUGUAGGCGGUUGUUUAAGUUUGGUGUGAAAUCUCCCGGCUCAACUGGGAGGGUGCGCCGAAUACUGAAUGACUAGAGUGCGGGAGAGGAGAGUGGAAUUCCUGGUGUAGCGGUGAAAUGCGUAGAUAUCAGGAGGAACACCGGCGGUGUAGGCGGCUCUCUGGACCGUAACUGACGCUGAGACACGAAAGCGUGGGGAGCAAACAGGAUUAGAUACCCUGGUAGUCCACGCCCUAAACGAUGCGCAUUUGGUGUGGGUCAUUCAGUUGAUCCGUGCCGGAGCUAACGCGUUAAAUGCGCCGCCUGGGAGUACAGUCGCAAGGCUGAA
rnacentral:rRNA from 1 species